GCCAGGCAUGGUGGCAUAUGCCUGUAGUCCUAGCUACUUGGGAGGCUAAGGUAGGAGGAUUGCUUGAGCCCAGGAAGUUGAGGCUGCAGUGAGCUGUGACUGUGCCACUGCACUCCAGCCUGGGCGACAGAGCGAGACCCUGUCUCCA
ensembl:misc_RNA Metazoa_SRP Metazoan signal recognition particle RNA